GCGGUGUAAAAUGAGCGUGCGUCCUAUUAGCUAGUUGGUGAAGCAAUGGCUCACCAAGGCUACGAUGGGUAGGGGUUCUUAGUGGAAGAUCCCCCACACUGGCACUGAGAUACGGGCCAGACUCCUACGGGAGGCAGCAGUAGGGAAUAUUGGUCAAUGGGCGAAAGCCUGAACCAGCCAUGCCGCGUGCAGGAUGACAGCUCUCUGAGUUGUAAACUGCUUUUGUACAGGAGCAAAACAAUCCCUGCGGGGGUUCUUGAGAGUACUGUAAGAAUAAGCACCGGCUAAUUCCGUGCCAGCAGCCGCGGUAAUACGGAAGGUGCAAGCGUUAUCCGGUUUUAUUGGGUUUAAAGGGUGCGUAGGCGGCUUAUUAAGUCAGUUGUGAAAUCCUAGUGCUUAACGCUAGAACUGCAAUUGAUACUAUUAGGCUUGAGUUAAGAAUAGGU
rnacentral:rRNA from 1 species